rnacentral:misc_RNA from 1 species
CCGUCAAUUCAUUUGAGUUUUAAUCUUGCGACCGUAGUCCCCAGGCGGAAUGUUUAACGCGUUAGCUGUAAUACAGAAAGUAAACUCCCCAUAUUUAACAUUCAUCGUUUACAGCGUGGACUACCAGGGUAUCUAAUCCUGUUUGCUCCCCACGCCUUCGCGCUUCAGCGUCAGAUUUGAACCAGAUAGACGCCUUCGCCACUGGUGUUCCUCCUAAUAUUUACGAAUUUUACCUCUACAUCAGGAAUUCCUCUAUCCUCUUUCAAUCUCUAGAUUAAUAGUUUUAAAAGCAAUUCCAAGGUUAAGCCUCGGGAUUUCACUUUUAACUUAUUAACCAGCCUACGCGCCCUUUACGCCCAAUAAUUCCGAAUAACGCUAGCCCUCUCCGUAUUACCGCGGC